GACGAACGCUGGCGGCGUGCUUAACACAUGCAAGUCGAGCGACGCUCUUCCUUCGGGGAGAUGACGGAGCGGCGAACGGGUGAGUAACACGUGGGCAACCUGCCCCUAGCUCUGGGACAACACCGGGAAACCGGUGCUAAUACCGGAUACGACAUCGAGCGGCAUCUCUCGAUGUGGAAAGUUUUUUCGGCUAGGGAUGGGCCCGCGGCCUAUCAGCUUGUUGGUGGGGUAAUGGCCCACCAAGGCGACGACGGGUAGCCGGCCUGAGAGGGCGACCGGCCACACUGGGACGGAGACACGGCCCAGACUCCUACGGGAGGCAGCAGUGGGGAAUAUUGCGCAAUGGGCGAAAGCCUGACGCAGCGACGCCGCGUGAGGGAGGACGGCCUUCGGGUUGUAAACCUCUUUCAGCAGGGACGAAUUCAGACGGUACCUGCAGAAGAAGCACCGGCCAACUACGUG
rnacentral:rRNA from 1 species